rnacentral:rRNA from 1 species
GACGAACGCUGGCGGCGUGCUUAACACAUGCAAGUCGAACGGAAAGGCCCUGCUUUUGUGGGGUGCUCGAGUGGCGAACGGGUGAGUAACAAGUGAGUAACCUGCCCUUGACCUUGGGAUAACUUCAGGAAACUGGGGCUAAUACCGGAUAGGAGCUCCUGCUGCAUGGUGGGGGUUGGAAAGUUUCGGCGGUUGGGGAUGGACUCGCGGCUUAUCAGCUUGUUGGUGGGGUAGUGGCUUACCAAGGCUUUGACGGGUAGCCGGCCUGAGAGGGUGACCGGCCACAUUGGGACUGAGAUACGGCCCAGACUCCUACGGGAGGCAGCAGUGGGGAAUAUUGCACAAUGGGCGGAAGCCUGAUGCAGCAACGCCGCGUGCGGGAUGACGGCCUUCGGGUUGUAAACCGCUUUCGCCUGUGACGAAGCGUGAGUGACGGUAAUGAGUAAAGAAGCACCGGCUAACUACGUG